rnacentral:rRNA from 1 species
GACGAACGCUGGCGGCGUGCCUAAUACAUGCAAGUCGAGCGCAGGAAGCUGACGGAGCUCUUCGGAGGGAAGGCAGUGGAAUGAGCGGCGGACGGGUAAGUAACACGUAAGGAACCUGCCUCAAGGAUUGGGAUAACUCCGAGAAAUCGGAGCUAAUACCGGAUAGUUCAACGGACCGCAUGGUCCGCUGAUGAAAUGCGCUUCGGCGUCACCUGUAGAUGGCCUUGCGGUGCAUUAGCUAGUUGGUGAGGUAACGGCCUACCAAGGCGACGAUGCAUAGCCGACCUGAGAGGGUGAUCGGCCACACUGGGACUGAGACACGGCCCAGACUCCUACGGGAGGCAGCAGUAGGGAAUCUUCCACAAUGGACGAAAGUCUGAUGGAGCAACGCCGCGUGAGUGAUGAAGGUUUUCGGAUCGUAAAACUCUGUUGUAAGGGAAGAACACGUACGAGAGGGAAUGCUCGUACCUUGACGGUACCUUACGAGAAAGCCACGGCUAACUACGUGCCAGCCACCGCCGUAA